rnacentral:lncRNA from 1 species
CUCUAGGUUUGGUUGCUCCACAUUGGAAGGUUUCCAGUCGUGUUCACCAGGCAUCCGUGGUGGUAGGAAGAGUAGAGACUGGGGUACAUGCAUUGGGAUUCAUCAAGGAAACAAAGCUGGACCAAAGAUGGCUGACUAGAAGCAGUGAGGACUCUUGGCUCUCAUGGAGAGAAAUGAAAGGGGCAAGUAAAUACAGCAACUUCAACUGAAACAUUCAUGUUCUCACAUUGAGACUGAUCAGGGAAAGAGCUCAACCCAUGCAGAAAGGAGAAAAGCAAAGCAGGGCGACAGCCCACUAGGAAAGGACAUGGAGCCAAGGGAACCUCUCCCUGCCCAGGCAAACAGUGAAUGAAUAUGUGACCCCUAGCAACCGCACUUCUUCCAUGGACCUUUGCAACUCUUGGGUCAGGAGAUCCCCUCAUGAAUCCACUCCACCAAGACUUGGUCUGACACACAAAGCUGCAUGAAGUCUCUGCUAAGCAACUGCCCAGGGGUGCACAGAGUCCCAGGAGCUUUACAUACUCUGGCCCCAGGAUCCCUGGUCAGGGUGAUUGCAACUCAGGCCAAGUGGGAGGUUGAACCUCCAUAUACACCCCUAGGAGGGGAGCUGAAGCCCAGAGGCCAAGUAGCAUUGCCCUGUGAUUCCCACUUCCUUGGCACCUCACAGGAUAAGACCCACUGGUUUGGAUUUCCAGCAAGCCCCCUGUUAAUGGUGUUGUGCCUACCUGGGAUAGGAUAGAGUUCCCAGGGGAAGGAGCAAGCCGCUAUCUUUUCUGUUUGGACAACUCAGCCAUUCCAGCAUGUGGGUGUAGGAGAGUCCAAACCACACCAACUGAGAACUGAUGGGACCUCCCAGCACAGCACAGCUGCUCUACCAAAACAUGGCCAGACUGCUUCUUUAAGUGGGACCUGAUCCAUUCCUCAUCUUAGGGCAGGGCCUCCCAACCAAGGCCUCCAGCCAACCCCACCCAUAUUCUCUGGCAGACAGAGUUUUGAUUUCUCCUUGGGAUGGAGUGCCGAGGGGUAGGGACGAGCCACCAUCUUUGCUGUUUGGACAACUCAGUCAUUCCAGCCUCUUGGCUUAGGAGAGUUCAAACCAUCUGAGGGCAGAAGUGGUACCCCAGCAUGACACAACUGCUCUACAAAAGCGUGGCAAGACCGCUUCUUUAAGCAGGUCCCUGAUCUGUUCCUCCUCACUUGGGAGAACUUCCCAACCAGGGUCUUCAGCCUCUCCCACUGAUGUUCUCUGGUUGACAAGGGUUUGAAAGCAUCCUGGGACAGAGUUACUAGAGAGAGGGGCAGGCUGCCAUCUUUGCUGUUUCUGCAAUUUAGCCGUUCCAGCUUUCAGGUUUUGGAGAACCCAACACCAUGAGGGGCAGAAAUGGUAUCCCAGCACAGCUCAGCUGUUCUACAAAAGUGGGGCUAGACUGCUUCUUCAAGCAGGUCCCUGAUCCUGUUUCUACUGGCUGGGUGAGACCUCUCAACCAGGGUCUCCAUCCACCUCCUACAGGUGUGUUCAGGCUGGCAACAGAUUUGUACACCCCUGGGACAGAGCUCCAAGAAGAAGGGGCAGGCUGCCAUCUUUGCUGUUUCACAGCCUUAACUGAUGAUACCUGUAGGUACUAGAAAUUCUGAGGUGACUAUGUUCUGGAAUGGAUGCCCAGCAAACCAUAGUAUCACUACGGUAAAGUGGUGAGACUGUUAAAAAGGAACCCUCCCUUCAAAAACUCCAUCCAGAGGCCAGCAACCCCAAAGAUUGAAGGUAGAUAAGCCCACAAAGAUGAAAAAGAAUCAGUGCAAGAAUGUGGAAAACUCAAAAAGCCAGAGUGCCCUCUCUCCUCCAAAUGACCACAUCACCUCUCCAGAAAGGGUUCAGAAUGGGGUUAAGGCUGACAUGGCUGAAAUGACAGAAGUAGACCUCAGAAUAUGGAUAAAAAUGAACUUCGCUGAGCUAAAGGAGCAAGUUCUAACUCAAUGCAAGGGAGCUAAAAAUCACAAUAAAACAUUGCAGGAGCUGACAAAAUAGCCAGGAUAGAGAAAAGCAUAACCAAUCUGAUGGAGCUGAAAAACACAAUACAAGAAAUUCAUAAUGCAUUUAUAUGUAUUAAUAGCAGAAUAAACCAAGUGGAGGAAAGAAUCUCAGAGCUUAAAGACUGUCUUUCUGAAAUAAGACAGGCAGACAAGGAUAGAGAAAAAAAGAAUGAAAAGGAAUAAACAAAACCUCUGACAAAUAUGGUAUUAUGUAAAGAGACCGAUUCUAUGACUGUUUGGUCAUAGAUGUUUUCCAAAAUAUGUUUUCCAAAUUGGUUCUGCUCUCCCCUGAAAGAGCUGGGGAGAAUGGAACCAAUUUGGAAAACAUAUUUCAGGAUAUCAUCCAUAAGAACUUCCCCAACCAUGCUAGACAGGCCAACAUUCAAAUUCAGGAAAUGCAGAGAACCCCAGUAAAAUAUUUCAUGAGAAGAUUAUCCCCAAGACACAUAAUUAUCAGAUUGUCCAAAAUUGAAAUGAAAUAAAAAAAUGUUAAGGGCAGCCAGAGAGAAAGGCCAGGUCACUUACAAAGGGAAGCCCAUCAGACUAAUGCAUUGAGAAGCAGACUUCUCAGUGGAAACCCUACAAGCCAGAAGACAUUGGGGGUCAAUAUUUAACAUUCUUAAAGAAAAUCAAUUCCAGCCCACAAUUUCAUAUCUGGCCAAACCAAGCUUCAUAAGUGAAGGAGAAAUAAAAUCCUUUUCAGACAAGCAAAUGCUGAGGAAAUUCACUGCCAUCAGACCUGCAUUACAAGAGCUCCUUAAGGAAUAAUAGAAGUGGCAUCAGAAUGAUCAGAAUGUGGAUAAAUAUGGAAAGGAAAAACCACUACCAGCCAUCAAGAAAAUAACUCAACCCAUGGAGGAUGGAGAAAAACAAGGCAGGAUGACUGCCCACCCAGGAUCAACACAGAGCCAGAGAAGCCACCCCCACCCAGGAAAGCAAUGAGUGAGUGAGUGACCUCGAGGACCCAUGCUUCUCCCAUGGGUCUUUGCAACUCUUGGGUCAGGAGAUUUCCUCAUGAACCCACUCCACCAGGGUCUGCAGUCUGAUAUGCAGAGCUAUGUGGAGUCUUGGCACAGCAGAUGCUCAGACACACACAAAGCCCUAGGGAGCCUUAGAUAUCUGGGCUUCCCAGCAAAAGUGGCUACAACUUCAGCAAAGUGGGAGGUUAGACUGCCAUACAUAUCCCUAGGAAAAGGGCUGAAUCCAGAAGGCUGAGCAGUGAUGGUUUACAGGCCCUGUUUCCAUGUCACCUCGCAGAAUAAGACCCACUGACUUGGAACUCUAGCCAGCUGCUGGUAGUGGCAUUACAUCUCUCUGAGACGGAGCUUCCAGAGAGGGGUGGGGCAGGCCACCAUCUUUUCUGUUUUGCAGCCUUUGCUGUUGUUGGAGUCACCCUACAGAAAAAGUGGACAGGCUGCUUUUUAAUUCGGGUCCCUGAUCCUGCUUCUUCUCACUGGGUGAGACCCCCUGACCGAGGUCAUCAGCCACUUUUCCUGGUGGCAGUUCUGGGCCUCCUUGGGAUGGAGUUCCCAGGGGGAGGGAUGGGCAGCCAUCUUUGUUGUUUCACUGCCUUAGCUGUUGUUGCCUUCAGGCUCUAUGGAGUCUAAGGUGACUAGGGACUGGAGCAGUCCCCCAGCACAGUGCAGCAGCUCUACAGUGAAGUGGCCAGAUUGCUUUUUCACGUGGUCCCAGAUCCCUUUUUACUUCAUUUGGAGGAAUCUCCCAGUCAAAGUCUACAACCACCCCCACCAAUGUGUUUGGGCCAGGAACAGACCUAUACCUCCUUGAGACAGAGCUCCCAGAGGGAGGAGCAGGCUGCCAUCUCUGCUGUUUUGCAGCCUUCACUGUUGAUAUCUCAGGUGCUAUAAAAUCUGAGGUGACUAGGGACCGGCGUGGACCCCCAGAAUACUGUAGCAGCUUUACAGAAAAGUGGACGGACUGUUACAUGGGUACCCAUUCCCAUAUCUCCUCACUGGGUGGGUCCUCCCAGCCUGGGUCUCCAGUCACAGCCCACUGGGAAUAUCAAGCCAGUAGCAGCUUUGCACCUCCUUGAGAGAGAGAGCCCCAGUGGGAGGAGUGGGUUGCUAUAUUUGCUGUCUUGCAGUGCUCAUCCUUGCUGUCUCCAGGCUUUGGAGAGUCCAGGAGAACCAGGGGCCUGUCCAGACUUCCACCUCAUGGAAAAGUGGCCAGACUGUUCUCCAUUCAUGCAUGCUUCCAGUUCCAGUCCGUAGAAGGAUGAAAUGGGCCGGCCUCACCCCUAUAGAAGAAGCCAGGUUCUACUAGGGAGCCAGUAGGCAUCUGGCACAACAGAAAGGCAGAAAAAGAAGCAAGCCAGCUCCACCAGUAUGCCGUUCCAUGGUACCCUAAGCCAGGUUCAGGCCCUGCAGCCCUGUGUGGUCCACUUGCCUACCCAACCACAACUGAUGCCUGUGAGGGUUCCCUGGCUGGUUCCAUCUAUCAACUCAACUUGGAGGAGAAGGCUUUUUGGUGCCUCAGACCCAUCUCUGUGGAUGAGCUGGACAUGAUUGACUUGACCUGCAGAAUGACAGAAACAUCAUGCCUCACUGGUCAGUGAGAUAUAACCAAGGUAUGGACAACCUGAACUUCCAGAUCCUCAAAGGACUGGCUGAAUCUUGGACACCUAAAUAGUGGAUCUCAAAUUCUUACUUGUGUUUAAUUGUACCCCUCCCAACUCCCCAGCAGUGGGAGGGCUUUCAGCCAAGUCUCAGGUAUGAGUCUGGAAUUAGGAAUCUUACCUCUGGAGAGACUGGACUCUGCUGGCUGGUAUGCCCCUCCAUGGCUGUCAUCCGUUGUCUGUACAUGCCUGAGGACAGAAUACUGUCAGGAAUGCUGCACAGGAAUUUCUGAGUGAAAUUCACUCUUAUAAAAUGCACAUGUCCUGGACCUAGACCUACACUCACUAAAGGGAUAGCUGAUGGAUAAAUAAAUGCCCUUCUGGCCCAUGCUGUUCUCCU